rnacentral:tRNA from 3 species
GCGGGUGUAUCACAGUGGUAGUGAACCGGCUUGCCAAGCCGGGUACGAGGGUUCGAUCCCCUUCACCCGCUCAA